UCUGCCCCUAGAGGCACUCCAGGGGUGACUGCUGUGUCACACUUGCAUCAGUAGGCAACAGAGAAGAGAGAGGUCAUGUCUAUGCUCAGUGUUCUGACCUAUGAACAUAUGAAUUAUUAGCAGCCUAUCAUU